UCCGUUUUCCUUCGGGACACUGGAGACAGGUGGUGCAUGGUUGUCGUCAGCUCGUGUCGUGAGAUGUUGGGUUAAGUCCCGCAACGAGCGCAACCCUUACCUUCAGUAGCCAGCAAGAAAGAUGGGAACUCUGGAGAGACUGCCCGGGAUAACUGGGAGGAAGGCGGGGAUGACGUCAAAUCAUCAUGCCCCUUAUGAUCAGGGCUACACACGUGCUACAAUGGCGUAAACAAAGGGAAGCGAAGUGGUGACACGAAGCAAAUCCGAAAAAUAACGUCUCAGUUCGGAUUGUAGUCUGCAACUCGACUACAUGAAGCUGGAAUCGCUAGUAAUCGCGAAUCAGAAUGUCGUGGUGAAUACGUUCCCGGGUCUUGUACACACCGCCCGUCACACCAUGGGAGUCGGAAAUGCCCGAAGUCAGUGACCCAACCGAGAGGAGGGAGCUGCCGAAGGUGGAGCCGGUAACUGGGGUGAAGUCGUAACAAGGUAGCCGUAUCGGAAGGUG
rnacentral:rRNA from 1 species